rnacentral:rRNA from 1 species
GACGAACGCUGGCGGCGUGCUUAACACAUGCAAGUCGAACGGAAAGGCCCUGCUUUUGUGGGGUGCUCGAGUGGCGAACGGGUGAGUAACACGUGAGUAACCUGCCCUUGACUUUGGGAUAACUUCAGGAAACUGGGGCUAAUACCGGAUAGGAGCUCCUGCUGCAUGGUGGGGGUUGGAAAGUUUCGGCGGUUGGGGAUGGACUCGCGGCUUAUCAGCUUGUUGGUGGGGUAGUGGCUUACCAAGGCUUUGACGGGUAGCCGGCCUGAGAGGGUGACCGGGCAGAAGGGGGGAGUGGUGCGCAGGAGGCGCCAGCCGGAGGCAGCAGGGGGGGGUGCGGAACGAAGGGCGGAGGCUUGAUACCGCACCGCCGCGGUGGGGAGGACGGGGUUAGGGUUGUAAACAGCGAUCGCCAGUGAAGACGCGUGAGUGACGGUAAUGUAAAAAGAAGCACCGGCAAACUACGAG